rnacentral:rRNA from 1 species
CGAGGGGCAGCGGGGGAGGAAGCUUGCUUUCUCCUGUCGGCGACCGGCGCACGGGUGAGUAACACGUAUGCAACCUGGCCGUCACAGGUGGAUAACCGGAAGAAAUUCCGACUAAUACAGCAUAACACUCCUGAGGGACAUCCUUCGGGAGUCAAAGGAGGUAACUCCGGUGACGGAUGGGCAUGCGGCGCAUUAGGUAGUUGGUAGGGUAACGGCCUACCAAGCCGACGAUGCGUAGGGGUUCUGAGAGGAAGGUCCCCCACAUUGGAACUGAGACACGGUCCAAACUCCUACGGGAGGCAGCAGUGAGGAAUAUUGGUCAAUGGCCGGAAGGCUGAACCAGCCAAGUCGCGUGAGGGAAUAAGGCCCUAUGGGUCGUAAACCUCUUUUGUCAGGGAGCAAAGGCGUCCACGAGUGGACGAAAGGAGAGUACCUGAAGAAAAAGCAUCGGCUAACUCCGUGCCAGCAGCCGCGGUAAUACGGAGGGUGCGAGCGUUAUCCGGAUUUAUUGGGUUUAAAGGGUGCGUAGGCGGAGUGUCAAGUCAGCGGUAAAAUUUCGGGGCUCAACCCCGUCGUGCCGUUGAAACUGAUACCCUUGAGUGAGUGAGAAGUAAGCGGAAUGCGUGGUGUAGCGGUGAAAUGCAUAGAUAUCUUGAGGAACGCCAAUUUGUGAAGGCAGCUUACCGGCGCUCAAACUGACGCUGAGGCACGAAAGUGCGGGUAUUCGAACAGGAUUAGAUACCCUGGUAGUCCGCACAGUAAACGAUGAAUGCUAGAUGUCCGGGGCGAAUGAGCUUUGGGUGUCACAGCGAAAGCGUUAAGCAUUCCACCUGGGGAGUACGCCGGCAACGGUGAAACUCAAAGGAAUUGACGGGGGCCCGCACAAGCGGAGGAGCAUGUGAAAAAAUUCGAUGAUACGCGAGGAACCUUACCCGGGCUCAAACGCCUCAGGAAUC